rnacentral:rRNA from 1 species
UACGUAGGGUGCGAGCGUUGUCCGGAAUUACUGGGCGUAAAGAGCUCGUAGGUGGUUUGUCACGUCGUCUGUGAAAUUCCGGGGCUCAACCUCUUCUCGCCUUGCGAACUGGGCUACUUGAGUGCUGGAGGGGAAAGCGGAAUUCCCAGUGUAGCGGUGAAAUGCGUAGAUAUUGGGAAGAACACCGGUGGCGAAGGCGGCUUUCUGGACAGUAACUGACACUGAGGCACGAAAGCGUGGGGAGCAAACAGGAUUAGAUACCCCGGUAGUCCCUGA